rnacentral:snoRNA from 1 species
AGCCUGUGAAUUCCUACGAGUUCCCAGAGUCCUGUGAACUAUGACUGGACUAUAAACCAUGCAGG